rnacentral:rRNA from 1 species
UACGUAGGGUGCAAGCGUUGUCCGGAAUUAUUGGGCGUAAAGAGCUCGUAGGCGGUCUGUCGCGUCUGCUGUGAAAACUCGGGGCUUAACCCCGGGCCUGCAGUGGGUACGGGCAGACUAGAGUGCGGUAGGGGAGACUGGAAUUCCUGGUGUAGCGGUGAAAUGCGCAGAUAUCAGGAGGAACACCGGUGGCGAAGGCGGGUCUCUGGGCCGUAACUGACGCUGGAGGAGCGAAAAGCGUGGGGAGCGAACAGG